rnacentral:rRNA from 1 species
AUUGAACGCUGGCGGCAUGCUUUACACAUGCAAGUCGAACGGCAGCGCGGGCUUCGGCCUGGCGGCGAGUGGCGAACGGGUGAGUAAUGCAUCGGAACGUGCCCAGCAGUGGGGGAUAGCCCGGCGAAAGCCGGAUUAAUACCGCAUACGACCUGAGGGUGAAAGCGGGGGACCGAAAGGCCUCGCGCUAUUGGAGCGGCCGAUGUCGGAUUGGCUAGCUGGUGGGGUAAAGGCUUACCAAGGCGACGAUCCGUAGCUGGUCUGAGAGGACGACCAGCCACACGGGAGCGGGGACACGGCCCAGGCUCCUACGGGAGGGAGCAGUGGGGAAUUUUGGGCAAUGGGGGCAAACCUGAUCCAGCCAUGCCGCGUGCGGGAAGAAGGCCUUCGGGUUGUGAACCGCUUUUGUUCGGGGAGAAAUCCUCUGGGCUAAUACCCCGGGGGGAUGACGGUACCGGAAGAAUAAGCACCGGCUAACUACGUG